UAAUGAAUGUAAUUAAUUGUAUUUUAUUUUUAUUUUUAUUUUUUAUUUUUUUAGGGAGAAACAAAAAUAAUGAAGGAUGAAAAUUUGGAGAGGCACUGUUUUCAGUAAUAGUCUUACAUAUGAGUAAUAGCCAUUGGCAGUGGAGCAAGAUGGUGGAACAGAAGCUUACAAGCUUUAUCUCCCUGUAGGAACACAAAAUUUUAACAGCUAUCUAAACAGUACAGUCACAAGAACUAAAAAUCAGACUGAUGCUCAUGGCUAUCUAAAGCCAUCUUCAUUAGCAGAGGAGCAAAAUAAAUUAUAUCAGUACAGAAGGGAGGCACACCACAA